AUUGAACGCUGGCGGCAGGCUUAACACAUGCAAGUCGAACGAGUGGCGGACGGGUGAGUAAUGCUUGGGAAUCUAGCUUAUGGAGGGGGAUAACUACGGGAAACUGUAGCUAAUACCGCGUACCAUAGGAUGAGCCCAAGUGUGAUUAGGUAGUUGGGGAGGUAAAGGCUCAACAAGCCGACGAUCUCUAGCUGGGCUGAGAGGAUGACCAGCCAAACUGGGACUGAGACACGGCCCAGCCUCCUACGGGAGGAAGCAGUGGGGAAUAUUGCGCAAGGGGGGCAACAUGACGCAGCCAUGCCGCGGGAAUGAAGAAGGCCUUCGGGUUGUAAAGUUCUUUCGGUAGCGAGGGGGAAACGAAAGAAGAAGCACCGGCUAACUCCGUGCCAGCCGCGCGGUAAUAG
rnacentral:rRNA from 1 species